GGGCCCGUAGUUCAACGGUCAGAACAGCCGGCUCAUAACCGGUCAGUUCCAGGUUCGAAUCCUGGCGGGCCUA
rnacentral:tRNA from 1 species